rnacentral:rRNA from 1 species
UGGCGGCGGGCCUAACACAUGCAAGUCGAGCGGAAACGACACUAACAAUCCUUCGGGUGCGUUAAUGGGCGUCGAGCGGCGGACGGGUGAGUAAUGCCUAGGAAAUUGCCUUGAUGUGGGGGAUAACCAUUGGAAACGAUGGCUAAUACCGCAUAAUGCCUACGGGCCAAAGAGGGGGACCUUCGGGCCUCUCGCGUCAAGAUAUGCCUAGGUGGGAUUAGCUAGUUGGUGAGGUAAUGGCUCACCAAGGCGACGAUCCCUAGCUGGUCUGAGAGGAUGAUCAGCCACACUGGAACUGAGACACGGUCCAGACUCCUACGGGAGGCAGCAGUGGGGAAUAUUGCACAAUGGGCGAAAGCCUGAUGCAGCCAUGCCGCGUGUAUGAAGAAGGCCUUCGGGUUGUAAAGUACUUUCAGUUGUGAGGAAGGGGGUAGCGUUAAUAGCGCUAUCUCUUGACGUUAGCAACAGAAGAAGCACCGGCUAACUCCGUGCCAGCAGCCGCGGUAAUACGGAGGGUGCGAGCGUUAAUCGGAAUUACUGGGCGUAAAGCGCAUGCAGGUGGUUCAUUAAGUCAGAUGUGAAAGCCCGGGGCUCAACCUCGGAACUGCAUUUGAAACUGGUGAACUAGAGUACUGUAGAGGGGGGUAGAAUUUCAGGUGUAGCGGUGAAAUGCGUAGAGAUCUGAAGGAAUACCAGUGGCGAAGGCGGCCCCCUGGACAGAUACUGACACUCAGAUGCGAAAGCGUGGGGGAGCAAACAGGAU